rnacentral:misc_RNA from 1 species
GGAAGGUGCAAUAAAGAAAAAGAGGAGGCCAAGAAGAGGUGAAGAUUUCAAGUUCACUGAAGCUAUGGUUAAGGCAGAUUUCUGGCUUUUGUUUUUGGUUUAUUUUUUCGGUGUGGGUUCUGGCGUUACUGUUCUCAAUAAUCUGGCGCAAAUCGGAAUAGCUCAAGGGCUUCAUGAUACAAAGAUCCUGCUAUCACUCUUCAGCUUCUGCAACUUUGUUGGUCGUCUUGGUGGAGGAGUUAUUUCAGAAUAUUUUGUCAGGUUAAAAGCAGUGCCUAGAACAGUUUGGAUGACAUGUACG